rnacentral:rRNA from 1 species
GACGAACGCUGGCGGCGUGCCUAAUACAUGCAAGUUGAGCGCUGAAGGUUGGUACUUGUACCAACUGGAUGAGCAGCGAACGGGUGAGUAACGCGUGGGGAAUCUGCCUUUGAGCGGGGGACAACAUUUGGAAACGAAUGCUAAUACCGCAUAAAAACUUUAAACACAAGUUUUAAGUUUGAAAGAUGCAAUUGCAUCACUCAAAGAUGAUCCCGCGUUGUAUUAGCUAGUUGGUGAGGUAAAGGCUCACCAAGGCGAUGAUACAUAGCCGACCUGAGAGGGUGAUCGGCCACAUUGGGAAUGAGACACGGCCCAAACUCCUACGGGAGGCAGCAGUAGGGAAUCUUCGGCAAGGGACGGAAGUCUGACCGAGCAACGCCGCGUGAGUGAAGAAGGUUUUCGGAUCGUAAAACUCUGUUGGUAGAGAAGAACGUUGGUGAGAGUGGAAAGCUCAUCAAGUGACGGUAACUACCCAGAAAGGGACGGCUAACUACGUG